AAAACAUAGUCUUAUGAUAUAAGGUGAAACCUGCCCAAUGAUAAAUUUAAAUGGCCGCAGUACUUUGACUGUGCUAAGGUAGCAUAAUAAAUUGACUUUUAAUUGGAGCCUAGAAUGAAAGGAUUGGUAAAUUCUGUCUUAUUUAAUUAAUUAAAAGUUACUUAAAAGGUGAAAAUACCUUUAUAUUAUAAAAUAGACGAGAAGACCCUAGGAGUUUUAAAUUUUGUUGGGGCAACAGUAUAGCAAUAUCUAUGUAUAAUCUAUUAAAACGAAAAAUAUUAAUAAUAAGUAAACUACCCUAGGGAUAACAGCAUAAUUUAUUAAGAUUGUGACCUCGAUGUUGGA
rnacentral:rRNA from 1 species